rnacentral:sRNA from 1 species
AGUAGAGGAGGUACUGUACUACUGUUUGUUUGUUUGGUGUUUGCUUCCUGGUACAACUCGUGCGAACUUUUGCUUUUGUGCUGCCUCUUGUUCUUCUCACGAGAGAAUGAGUUGGCUUACUAGAUUCUGCACUCGUUGGUUGCUAUGUUUUCUUCUCUGAAUUUUUGUCUGCUCCUAAUCUGUUGCUAUGUUUCAUCUCUGAAUUUUUGUCUGCUGCUAAUCUGUUGCUAUGUUUCAUCUCUGAAUUUUUGUCUGCUGCUAAUCUGUUGCUAUGUUUCUUCUCUGAAUUUUUGUCUGCUGCUAAUCCAAUCAAUGCCAAAUUGCUAAACAGAAGUAGGGGUGGAAGGGGACUGAUGCUGUCAUGCUGAUAUGGCUCCCAGCAAAGCAUGUGAAGGUUGUCUCCAUCAUCAACUUUACACUUAAAACUCUAAUUCAGAAGCAACCAUGUUGAUACAUUGAGACAAAUUUGUCACUUCCUUUCUGUCUUGUCUUGAUUUUUCAUUGUACACUUGCUAGGAAAGCAUACAAAAGCAUACAUUCC